rnacentral:rRNA from 1 species
AUUGAACGCUGGCGGCAGGCUUAACACAUGCAAGUCGAGCGGAGAUGAGGUGCUUGCACCUUAUCUUAGCGGCGGACGGGUGAGUAAUGCUUAGGAAUCUGCCUAUUAGUGUGGGACAACAUUCCGAAAGGAAUGCUAAUACCGCAUACGCCCUACGGGGGACAGCAGGGGACUUUCGGACCUUGCGCUAAAAGAUGAGCAUAAGUCGGAUUAGCUAGUUGGUGGGGUAAAGGCCUACCAAGGCGACGACCUGUAGCGGGUCUGAGAGGAUGAUCCGCCACACUGGGACUGAGACACGGCCCAGACUCCUACGGGAGGCAGCAGGGGGGAAUAUUGGACAAUGGGCGGAAGCCUGAUGCAGCCAUGCCGCGUGUGUGAAGAAGGCCUUUUGGUUGUAAAGCACUUUAAGCGAGGAGGAGGCUACCUGGAUUAAUACUCUAGGAUAGUGGACGUUACUCGCAGAAUAAGCACCGGCUAACUCUGUGCCAGCCGCCGCCGUAAUAC